rnacentral:rRNA from 17 species
UGAUCCUGGCUCAGGAUGAACGCUGGCGAGAUGCUUUACACAUGCAAGUCGUACGAGAGUCUUUGACUCAAGUGGCGGACGGGUGAGUAACACGUAAGAAUUUGCCUCUAGGAGGGGGACAACAGCUGGAAACGGCUGCUAAUACCCCAUAUGCUUCCGAGUGAAAUGGAUUUUUCCGCCUAGAGAGAAGCUUGCGGCUGAUUAGCUUGUUGGUAAGGUAAUGGCUUACCAAGGCGACGAUCAGUAUCUGGUUUGAGAGGAUGAUCAGACACACUGGAACUGAGACACGGUCC